rnacentral:lncRNA from 1 species
GUCAAAGCUACCUAGAUGUCCUCAUACAAAUUACAAGCUAUGAUGUCCACCUCAUUCUCUUUCUGGAAGGCUGACCUUAACUGUCCUGCACAUUCCUGACAGAGCAUAUUUGCCCUUUUCCUAUACUAAUAAGCCCUAAAUCUUGUGGGUAACAGCCUGGGGAACUACCUGUCUUGCUACCACUCAAGACCAUGCUUCUGUCCACAAAUUCCCCC